GUCCCUGUAGCGCAAUGGAUAGCGCGUUGGUCUUCUAAUCCAAAGGCUGUGGGAUUGAAUCUUACCUGGGAUG
rnacentral:tRNA from 1 species